AGGGUCGAAGAGUGAGUAAAUGGCCGAGGGUGAUUUGGGCCUUAGUGGUCCUGUGGUGGCUGCGUACGAAUCCUACUGGCCUGCUAAGUCCCAAGUGAUUCUCGGCUCGCGCUGCGAUA